rnacentral:rRNA from 1 species
UAGGGAAUCUUCCGCAAUGGGCGAAAGCCUGACGGAGCAACGCCGCGUGAGUGAUGAAGGUCUUCGGAUCGUAAAACUCUGUUAUUAGGGAAGAACAAAUGUGUAAGUAACUAUGCACGUCUUGACGGUACCUAAUCAGAAAGCCACGGCUAACUACGUGCCAGCAGCCGCGGUAAUACGUAGGUGGCAAGCGUUAUCCGGAAUUUUUGGGCGUAAAGCGCGCGUAGGCGGUUUUUUAAGUCUGAUGUGAAAGCCCGCGGCUCAAGCGUGGAGGGUCAUUGGAAACUGGAAAACUUGAGUGCAGAGGAGGAAAGUGGAAUUCCAUGUGUAGCGGUGAAAUGCGCAGAGAUAUGGAGGAACACCAGUGGCGAAGGCGACUUUCUGGUCUGUAACUGACGCUGAUGUGCGAAAGCGUGGGGAUCAAACAGG